CCUUGGGAGGGCAUUGUGCAGGGCUAUCAGGCAGUUUCCUGGGCCCUGUCUGCAGAGCCUAAACAGAUCA
ensembl:miRNA MIR4289 microRNA 4289